rnacentral:lncRNA from 1 species
UGUUAAAUCUUGUAACGUUAAUUCUAAAAGUGAAAGAAAUUUAUCAAAGGAAAAUACAAGAAAAGAUAGAUUCUAUUUUCUUGCGAAGGGUGUAAACGAAGCCACACUAAGAUUAAGAGCAAUCCAAAUCAGCAGUUAGUGUCUUUGGUUCCGAUUCCCGCAACCGAUUCGCGUCCAAGAAAUCAGAUUCGCAACCAAAAGGGUCGGACGGCCAACGCGAUUCCGAGAAAUCUGCUGAUUCCCGCAGUUCAUUUCCGAAUCGGUCGCGACCCCAGAUUUUCACCGCUUCUUCACUGUAUUUAUCCGCCUGCCAUCUAUUAGGAACCCUUGUUCUUUUUCUUUUUCCGCCGACAGCGCGUGCUCAGCGAAGAAGACAGGGCUCGGGCGGCGCCGGCGCCGGCCCCUCCACGACCUGCCUCCGGUGCCUCCACUCCCAGCCUUCGGCGCCUCCACGGCAGGCCGGGCUCCUGUCCAGCGCCGCUCUUGCUCCUGCCUCCUGUCCCCACUCUGAAGCACGGCGCGAUGGAGGCUGCAGGUCACAGCCGACCAAAGUUCACGGAGCUCACUCGUCCGAUCGUCCCUCAGCAGUCCUGCUCCCUCAGUCCCUCUGCUCCCUGUACUGAAGGUCAAGCUUCUCUGUAGGAGUGGUUACAGGUUGGGGAUGCGAGCAGAACAUGGCUUCGGAUCCACGAGCAGUACCUCUCAGUUCCAUCGGGUGAAAGAAGCAUUUGGAAGAAGAUAAGGAUUUGAGGAAGAAGAUAAGGCCCCUUUGUAUGACGAGUGGGUCCUGUAGAUGAAAAUAUUAAAGAAAAAAAGAAAAGAAUGGAAAAGGAUGUAUAGAGCUGGAUUUUAGAACACAUGGUUGUAAUAUUUAGAAUUUAAUUAUUUAAUGUAUGUUCAAAUUUAUUUAAAUUCUAGUUCAAAUAUAUUUUUUAUUUAUUAUAUGAGAUCAUUUUCUAUUUCUAUAAGCUAUAUUUAUAUAGAACAU